rnacentral:snRNA from 1 species
ACUCGCUUCACCAGCACACAUACAAAAUGGAAUGACAGAAGUUUAGCAUGUUUCCUGUGCAAGGAUAACACACAAAUUCAUGAAGAAUUCCAUAUUGAA